CGUGGCCAUACCACCUGUAGGGGAUUUUCUUACGAAAUCUAAGCUGUGGGAAAUGGGAAAUUGCGUAAAAAUCUGGGUUGGGUGAUUUAAAAAAAAAGCAGGGGCUGGGCAUAGGCAGUAAUAUAAGGCAAGAUGGCUAAGGAAGAAGGUGGGCAGCGGAGCCGGUGAAGGAAGCCGCAGGCGCGGAUGGAGGCGAAGAGAUCAGGAGCAGUAAAGGAACACUCUCUUCCCCAGUCAGCUGGGAUACGGAUUUUGUAAGGCCUAGGGACUUUGUCUUUGGAGGUCCUGUCUCCAUAAGGCUUCCCAAAACAAAGAAUGUUCAGAUUGGACUGGCCUUAAAAUGCAGUAUUUAAAACAGCAACAUGUCUGACAGAUCCGAGAAAUGAAAUACGUCCAUUUCUUUUGGCAAGGAGCAGAAGGCAACAUAAAGCAGCUGCAAGAAUUAAUUCAUGGAGAUAGUUGACAUUUUCGAGCUGACUGCCUCUUAGAGAAAAUGAUGUCAUUCUCCAGCAGCCUAAUGACAGUCAUCAGCCUGAGAGGACACAUGCUAAUAAGACUAUCACCAGCAAAGAAUUUUCUGAGCAAAUGUGUACUGGAGACCUUCUGAGGAACCCACUAGAGCCUGCACAUCCCCUUUUCCUAGCAAGGUCAACUGGAAAACAGGUCUUACUGCCUAUUAGAGCAAAGGAAGAGGAAAUCUUUGGCUAACCGGUCAGAGAAAACAACUGGAUUAAACAAGAUACUCUUCAUGACUGUGGUUGCAAAAAUGCAACACAACUUUUAAAAAUCUUAGUACUAAUUUUUAAAAAUGGCUUUUAAUUUGGGGGAGACUCGAUAACAGAACCCGAAAAUCUGAUGAAUUGUAUGAACAUUUUGUUCAGAAAAAUAAACAUAUAUUACCAGAAAAUUUCAUAUGUGAUUCAAGAAGUCCACAGAAGUUCCAUGUUAGUAAAAUUGAGGAACAAUGGUGACACCCUAAUGAUAGGGCAACAUGGUUCUGCUUUAGUAAGUCUGAGAGCUGCAGCUGUGAAAAGGGUCCUGACUCCAUUCAGAUGCAGUCUCAUUCUAUUGCCAGGCUGGAGUGCAGUGGUGCGAUCUGCAACCUCCGCCUCCCGGGUUCAAGCGAUUCUCCCGCCUCAGCCUCCCAAGUAGCUGGGACGACAGGCACCCGCCAUCAUGCCCGGCUAAUUUUUGUAUUUUUAGUAGAGAUGGGGUUUCACCAUGUUGGCCGGGAUGGUCUUGAUCUCUUGACCUCGUGAUCCGCCCACCUCAGCCUCCUAAAGUGCUGAGAUUACAGACGUGAGCCACUGCGCCCAGCCGCAAGCAUCAACUUGUAAUGCUGUCCAUGUGAUUUCAAUGGGAGCCAAUUAGUAAGCUUUGAAUGGGUUACAGCUGUGUCCAGUUAAGCCUUGUUAACUCCUCGAGCACUUGGGCAAGACCAAAGCAGGUAAAGCCUGCAGUCUUCACCUCUUGCCACAAGUGGACUCCACCAAUGAGCUGCGGAAAGAACAUUUCCUACGUACCAUGCCAUGAAGAAAGUUGGGGAGCACUGAAGUGCCUGAUUUCAAUCUUAUAAUAAUACUGUAAGGUUCGGGUUGAGAAUUCAGUUCUAGUGAAGCUCUUCACUACACAGCGAUUGAGAAAUCAAGGCUGUUGGCUGCUUGGACAUCUUUAAUGUGCGGCUUCCAGGACAGCAGUUCCCUUCUCAUUUGGGAUCGUUUUUGCCUGUAUAGAGUCUCAAUCUGUUGCCCAGGCUGAGGUGCAGUGGUGCGAUCACAGCUCACUGUAGCCUUGAACUCCCAGGCUCAAGCGAUCCUCCCACCUAGGCCUUCUGAGUAAUUGAGACCAUAGAGGGUCUAAAGAGGAGCUACUUUGUCACUCAUCACUCGCUUGAAUAUUCAUCAGCAACAGAAGAGGAAGCUGAUCUGGGGGGUGCCGGUGGUUGUCUGUAAGUCACACAAGGAGUAGAUGGUUCACAGAUCAGCAGAUGCCACUGCCACCUUUAUCUUGUCUGUGUGUUCUUCAGUCGUUCCUACGAUAAGGCUUUUGUAAGGAGCAUAGUGCUCUUUCCCUUUCUAUGGAAGUAUACUUGUAUGUGGAUAAGUAUCCUUGUAUGCUAACUACUGUAAGAGAAACACAUAGUCAAUCCUACAAAUAAAAAAUAAUAUUUUGCUCAGCUCACAGUUGGGAAUGGGUUAGAUGGUCCUCUGAGGCAGCUGGCUGUCCUUUAAGUGUUUACUCAGGGAUCUCAGCAUUGCUGCCUUUGACUAUGUGGCUAUGUCAUCUUGGGCCAAGAGAUCACAGAACAUUAUCUGGGACAGCAGUUACAUAGUUCUGGUCAAAACUCUAAAGAAGGCAUGUGAGUGAUUAAAAUUUGUCAAAUUCAGUGUUAAGUGACAACCUGCAUCUGGACUCCUAGAUAGCCAGUGUUUGAUGGAAUCUCCCUAAUGUUGGCUCUCUAGACCAUUCGUUCUAGGGACCUGUCUGCGCAAUUGGACUUCCUGCCAUGUCUCAUGGUGCCUCCCUGAUGUCUCCUCACCUGCAACUCCAAAUCCCAGCCACUCUCCGUCUGCAUCCCUCAGCUACAUAGUUCCCUUUCUGGUCCUCUGCAUGAUGAGGUAAGGCAAGUAGACUGGUUCAAACUUCUCCACUGGGAUUACAAACUGUGAUCCCAGACAAUGAACCAUGGCCUCCUAAAGUCAUAAGCCCAGGCAUUCCAACAAGACAGAAUGUUGAAAAAUGCCUUCUCAUGUCAAACGUGAUUAGGCGAAUGAGAGAACAUACUUUAAAAAUAAUAAGGUCUGAGAGAAAUGUGUUUUUUUUAAUUACUAUAUUCCUAUUAGAAAUGGUGUCAUGGUAAAAAUAAGGAGACUUUCUCCAUCAGCAAAACCCACUCCAGUCUUACUGCAGUGUGGUCACCCUUGACAAAGAUGAAAAGGUGAGAAGAGUUUUGAUUGUUUUCAUCCUGAGGUGUAUGGACAGGUGUUUGAAUAUACUUAGUGGGU
rnacentral:lncRNA from 10 species